UACAGAGGGGGCAAGCGUUGUUCGGAAUUACUGGGCGUAAAGGGCGCGUAGGCGGCCUGUUAAGUCGGACGUGAAAUCCCUCGGCUCAACCGGGGAACUGCGUCCGAUACUGGCGGGCUUGAAUUCGGGAGAGGGAUGUGGAAUUCCAGGUGUAGCGGUGAAAUGCGUAGAUAUCGGUAGGAACACCAGUGGCGAAGGCGGUUUCCUGGAGCCCACUUGACGCUGAGACGCGAAAGCUGGGGGAGCAAACGGG
rnacentral:rRNA from 1 species